rnacentral:tRNA from 1 species
CAAAAAUUAGUUAAAAUAAUAAUAUUAGUUUGUCAGUCUAAAGUUAUCUAACUUAUGAUAUUUUUGA